UGACCCAUAGCUCAAUGGUAAGAGCAGGAACCUUAUACGUUCAAGGUUAUCAGUUCAAAUCUGAUUGGGUCAACAA
rnacentral:tRNA from 1 species